rnacentral:rRNA from 1 species
GUAGUCUCGCACAGAUGCAUAUCAAUAAGCGGAGGAAAAGAAACUAACAAGGAUUCCCCUAGUAACGGCGAGUGAAGCGGGAAGAGCUCAAAUUUGAAAUCUUAAAGGGUUUCCCUUUACGAAUUGUAGUUUAAAGAAGUGUUUUCUGUUGAGGUUUUGGUAAAAGUUCUUUGGAAUAGGACAUCAUAGAGGGUAAGAAUCCCGUAUUUGACCUUUACUUUCAACUUUGUGAUACACUUUCAAAGAGUCGGAUUGUUUGGGAAUGCAGUCCAAAAUGGGUGGUAAAUUUCAUCUAAAGCUAAAUAUUGGCGAGAGACCGAUAGCGAACAAGUACCGUGAGGGAAAGAUGAAAAGAACUUUGAAAAGAGAGUUAAACAGUACGUGAAAUUGUCAAAAGGGAAGCGUUUGACACCAGUGUUGUUUUUCUGAAAAUCAAUUAAAGAACUGUUUAUGCUAAGUUGUUUAGACUUUAUCAGCUAACUGUUUAGUUUUGAGCUUUUCUUUAAUGCACUUUUCAGUUAACAAGUCAACAUCAAUUUCUUUUGCUGUAAAAAAGCUUGAGGAAGGUGGCUUGAGAUUCGUCUUAAGUGUUUAUAGCCUCUUGCCUAUGCAGUCGGAGAGAUUGAGGUCUGCAGCGUAGAUCCUUCGGGGCUAAAUGCAUUUGUGCUAAGUUAUAAGCAUUUUAUAGACAACUUGUUGACUAUGAUUUGUCUUGUAGCUUACUCGCUUAUGUUAUUUUACCUACGCUUAGGAUGUUGAUCUGUAGUGCGUGCGC